rnacentral:misc_RNA from 1 species
CGUGAAGCAGAAAAAAAUGAAGCAAAAUGUAAAAAUUUUUUACUUACAACCGUUAGAACCGUUAUUUUGUUGUAAAUAUAAGACGUAGAUAGAAAUAUAGCGGAAUUACUUUCUUCACUUACUUUUGGCGGUUUUCUUUGAAUUUGGUUCGGGCUUGCAUCUCUUUGAACGACGACGCGUCUUUUCGCAAGCACGGUCGCUCUCGGGUUUCAAAUUGUCUAUCCGGUUCAUCAGUUGGUUAACGCAUUCGCUCCAGGAGCCCUUCUCGUAACGACACUCUGUGCUCAGCGCCACGCCUUUUUUGCAUCUCUUUUCGAUCGUCUUAGUCUGCUCGCAGGUCUUAGCGUCUCCUUUUUUCAAGCUAAGGGUCCGGGUUCUUGUAUUCGUCUUUACAUCACAAGCUGACCAAUCACCUUUUGAGUACCUGCAGGAUACUGUGCCAGCAGACACUGGUGGUCAAGAACAAUAUAUAUGUAUACUGCGCGUAUAAGACACCCAACUUGGGACAUCCAAUUCAACCAAUAUUUGAGACCAAUUGAAGAAAAAAUAAAA